rnacentral:misc_RNA from 1 species
GCAAAAAAAAAAACUAGAUUUGAUUGAAAAGAAAUUAUAACAUUGCUUCUAAGUCCCAAAUUUAUCUUAGCCUUUAUUUGAUUAAUAUAAUUCAUAGGAAAUACGUUAAUUAGUUCAUUUGUUGACCAUAACAACUUUCAUGCGGUAUUGCAAUGGUUGAUAUUUGAUAUUAAUUAAAUUCGAUCAUAUGUUUGUUUCAUGAGAAAUCUUUAAAAAAACUUAACCUGUCAUAUUAUCCCUAAAUCAAGUCAAGCUAAGUCCAUCAAAU